UAUCAGUGCAGAAAACAUUCCAUAGAGAU
rnacentral:piRNA from 1 species